UACGAAGGGUGCAAGCGUUACUCGGAAUUACUGGGCGUAAAGCGUGCGUAGGCGGUUCGUUAAGUCUGUCGUGAAAGCCCUGGGCUCAACCUGGGAAUUGCGAUGGAUACUGGCGGGCUAGAGUACGGUAGAGGAUGGUGGAAUUCCCGGUGUAGCGGUGAAAUGCGUAGAGAUCCGGAGGAACACCAGAGGCGAAGGCGGCACCCUGGACGACACCAGACGCUGAGACGCGACAGCACGGGGAGCGAAC
rnacentral:rRNA from 1 species